AGCAGCCGCGGUAAUUCCAGCUCCAAUAGCGUAUAUUAAAGUUGUUGCAGUUAAAAAGCUCGUAGUUGAAUUUCGGGAUUUAUCCGUCGGUCGGGCUUUUGGGUCUGUACUGGCGUGAUGAAUUCCUACCUUCUGAAUAACCGGCAUGUCAUUAAUUUGGUGCGCUGGGGAAGCAGGACUGUUACCUUGAAAAAAUUGAGUGCUUAAAGCAGGCUAUUGCCUGAAUACAUUAGCAUGGAAUAAUGAAAUAGGACGGCAUGGUUCUAUUUUGUUGGUUUCUAGGAUCACCGUAAUGAUUAAUAGGGAUAGUUGGGGGCAUUAGUAUUCAAUUGUCAGAGGUGAAAUUCUUGGAUUUAUUGAAGACUAACUUCUGCGAAAGCAUUUGCCAAGGAUGUUUUCAUUAAUCAAGACGAAAGUUAGGGAUCGAAGACGAUCAGAUACCGUCGUAGUCUUAACCAUAAACUAUGCCGACUAGGGAUCGGACGAUGUUAAUUUUUAUGUACUCGUUCGGCGUCCGUUA
rnacentral:rRNA from 1 species